rnacentral:lncRNA from 1 species
CUCCCCUCUCCGGACAGUAAAGAGGUCAAGGAUCCUGGCAUAAGACCAUAACGAGGCACAAGGCAUGGCUGCUUAAAAUCAAGAGAGUGUUCCAGCAAGAUGAUGGAUGGUCACAGCAAUAGCAAAGGAGAUCCAAAUGAAAACUCUUCACAUCAUGCAUUGCAGUGCUGACUUCAGCUGCAUUUCUGGAUUCACAUCAUCAAGGACAAGGUUGAAUAAAGCUUUCCCCAUUGAAGGUCUGGUACAGAGUAGGAGUUGUUCUCCUUCACUUCUAGGCAAGUGUUAAAAGAUGUCUCUUGAUGGGUUCUGAGUGGAAGUGCUUCUUUUCAAAAAAGUGCUAUAAGCCUGGAAAUGAA